UCCAAUCAAGAUAUAGCCUUUAUUGCACAAACCUUUAUUUUUGUCCUCAAUGGAGAUUGACCCAUCUUUGUUUUGGCCAAAUUCUGAAUUUUUAGAAACAGGGUCUGGAUCUUGAGCAAUUUUGGGAGUAGGGUUUGAUUGGAUUGAUUUCUUGUAGGCUUUGGCUCUGGCUAGAGCGAGCUUAACUGGGUCUUGUUGCUGUGAGUCAUCAUCUUUGAGGGCCCUGAUUAAAGUGAUGUUUCUUCUACGCCAUGGCAUGGUGUGUGAGAGUUAUGUCGGAGAGAUUUUGCUUCCAUGGAUGAGAUAUGGGUGGUUCUUCUAUUCCACGUGUUAGCUUUCAAGCCUUUGAAAAAUCAGUUGUAUACGUUUGAUCGAGAACUCGCUAGUCGCUAGUCGAGUUGAUAAGGUGAGAAUUAGCGACUACUUGUGAUUAAUCGGAUCGGUUUUUUAUAUGUAACUUUUAGUUUUAUGUAUGCAUAUACAUAUUUUUAUAUGUAAAUAUUUUUAGUAGCUAUGUUUUAACUCUUUUUCAACUCAUUUUUUAAGUAUACAAGAUUAAUUGUUAGAAUUCACAUGGUUUGGUAGGAAAACUGGCCGGAAUUUAGAGGUUUUGACCGGAAUAUACAGGUUUUUUGUUGGAAUCUGGCCGGAUAUACCGAUUUUUGGCUGGCCGACUAGGUCCAACUAGGCCCGACUAGCGAUUAAUUGACUGAUUAACGAAAAAUUACUCAGUUACUGGCCGACUAGCGAUUAAUACAUAGAGUUUUCUCAAGUUUUCUUAAUAACACUGGGUUUUCAUUUUAUCUUCCGCAUGUGUGUGUAUACGUAUAUAUGUAAAAAAAAAUUGUAAAAAUAUAUA
rnacentral:lncRNA from 1 species